rnacentral:rRNA from 1 species
UACGUAGGGGGCAAGCGUUGUCCGGAAUUAUUGGGCGUAAAGAGCUCGUAGGCGGCUUGUCGCGUCGACCGUGAAAACUUGGGGCUCAACCCCAAGCCUGCGGUCGAUACGGGCAGGCUCGAGUUCGGUAGGGGAGACUGGAAUUCCUGGUGUAGCGGUGAAAUGCGCAGAUAUCAGGAGGAACACCGAUGGCGAAGGCAGGUCUCUGGGCCGAUACUGACGCUGAGGAGCGAAAGCGUGGGGAGCGAACAGG